rnacentral:rRNA from 1 species
AUUGAACGCUGGCGGCAUGCUUUACACAUGCAAGUCGAACGGUAACAGGCCGCAAGGUGCUGACGAGUGGCGAACGGGUGAGUAAUGCAUCGGAACGUGCCCAGUCGUGGGGGAUAACUACUCGAAAGAGUAGCUAAUACCGCAUAUGAUCUAUGGAUGAAAGCGGGGGACCGUAAGGCCUCGCGCGAUUGGAGCGGCCGAUGUCAGAUUAGGUAGUUGGUGGGGUAAAGGCUCACCAAGCCAACGAUCUGUAGCUGGUCUGAGAGGACGACCAGCCACACUGGGACUGAGACACGGCCCAGACUCCUACGGGAGGCAGCAGUGGGGAAUUUUGGACAAUGGGCGCAAGCCUGAUCCAGCAAUGCCGCGUGCAGGAAGAAGGCCUUCGGGUUGUAAACUGCUUUUGUACGGAACGAAACGGCUCUGGUUAAUACCCGGGGCUAAUGACGGUACCGUAAGAAUAAGCACCGGCUAACUACGUG